rnacentral:rRNA from 1 species
AGGGUUUGAUCAUGGCUCAGAACGUACGCUGGCGGCACGCCUAACACAUGCAAGUCGAACGAAGUAGCAAUACUUAGUGGCAGACGGGUGAGUAACAUGUAGGUAUCUGCCCUUUGGCCUGGAAUAACACGAGGAAACUUGUGCUAAUACUGGAUAAGUCUUUACGGAGAAAGCUUUAUGCACCAUUGGAUGAGCCUGCACUUGAUUAGUUUGUUGGUGGGGUAAUGGCCUACCAAGACUGUGAUCAAUAGCUGAUUUGAGAGGAUGAUCAGCCACAUUGGGACUGAGACACGGCCCAAACUCCUACGGGAGGCAGCAGUGGGGAAUCUUGCACAAUGGAGGAAACUCUGAUGCAGCGAUGCCGCGUGAGUGAAGAAGGCCUUUGGGUUGUAAAGCUCUUUCGUCGGGGAAGAAAAUGACUGUACCCGAAUAAGAAGGUCCGGCUAACUUCGUGCCAGCAGCCGCGGUAAUACGAAGGGACCUAGCGUAGUUCGGAAUUACUGGGCUUAAAGAGUUCGUAGGUGGUUGAAAAAGUUGGUGGUGAAAUCCCAGAGCUUAACUCUGGAACUGCCAUCAAAACUUUUCAGCUAGAGUAUGAUAGAGGAAAGCAGAAUUUCUAGUGUAGAGGUGAAAUUCGUAGAUAUUAGAAAGAAUACCAAUUGCGAAGGCAGCUUUCUGGAUCAUUACUGACACUGAGGAACGAAAGCAUGGGUAGCGAAGAGGAUUAGAUACCCUCGUAGUCCAUGCCGUAAACGAUGUGUGUUAGACGUUGGAAAUUUAUUUUCAGUGUCGCAGCGAAAGCGAUAAACACACCGCCUGGGGAGUACGACCGCAAGGUUAAAACUCAAAUGAAUUGACGGGGACCCGCACAAGUAGUGGAGCAUGUGGUUUAAUUCGAAGAUACGCGCAGAACCUUACCAACACUUGACAUGUUCGUCGCGACUUUAAGAGAUUAAAGUUUUCGGUUCGGCCGGACGAAACACAGGUGCUGCAUGGCUGUCGUCAGCUCGUGUCGUGAGAUGUUGGGUUAAGUCCCGCAACGAGCGCAACCCUCACUUUUAGUUGCCAUCAUUUAGUUGGGCACUCUGAAAGAACUGCCAGUGAUAAGCUGGAGGAAGGUGGGGAUGACGUCAAGUCCUCAUGGCCCUUACGUGUUGGGCUACACACGUGCUACAAUGGUAUCUACAACAGGAAGCAAAACUGCGAAGUUAAGCAAAUCCUUAAAAGAUACCUCAGUUCGGAUUGCACUCUGCAACUCGAGUGCAUGAAGCUGGAAUUACUAGUAAUCGUGGAUCAGCGUGCCACGGUGAAUGCGUUCCCGGGUCUUGUACACACCGCCCGUCACACCAUGGGAGUUGGUUCUACCUUAAGGCAAGGUUUCAAACCCUUGACCACGGUAUAGUCAGCGACUGGGGUGAAGUCAUAACAAGGUAACCGUA